UACGUAGGGUGCGAGCGUUAAUCGGAAUUACUGGGCGUAAAGCGUGCGCAGGCGGUUCGUUAAGUCAGAUGUGAAAGCCCCGGGCUCAACCUGGGAACUGCAUUUGAAACUGGCGGGCUUGAGUGUGGCAGAGGGGGGUGGAAUUCCGCGUGUAGCAGUGAAAUGCGUAGAGAUGCGGAGGAACACCGAUGGCGAAGGCAGCCCCCUGGGCCAACACUGACGCUCAGGCACGAAAGCUAGGGUAGCAAACGGG
rnacentral:rRNA from 1 species